CCUACGGGAGGCAGCAGUAGGGAAUCUUCCACAAUGGACGAAAGUCUGAUGGAGCAACGCCGCGUGAGUGAAGAAGGCUUUCUGCUCGUAAAGCUCUGUUUGUAGUGAAGAAAGAUAGAGGUAGUAACUGGCCUUUAUUUGACGGUAAUUACUUAGAAAGUCACGGCUAACUACGUGCCAGCCGCCGCGGUAAUACGUAGGUGGCAAGCGUUGUCCGGAUUUAUUGGGCGUAAAGGGAGUGCAGGCGGUUCAAUAAGUCUGAUGUGAAAGCCUUCGGCUCAACCGGAGAAUUGCAUCAGAAACUGUUUAACUUGAGUGCAGAAGAGGAGAGCGGAACGCGAGGUGUAGCGGUGGAAUGCGUAGAUA
rnacentral:rRNA from 1 species